rnacentral:rRNA from 1 species
UACCUACGGGGGGCAGCAGUGAGGAAUAUUGGUCAAUGGCCGAGAGGCUGAACCAGCCAAGUCGCGUGAGGGAUGACGGCCCUACGGGUUGUAAACCUCUUUUGUCGGGGAGCAAAGAGAGUCACGUGUGACUCAUUGAGAGUACCCGAAGAAAAAGCAUCGGCUAACUCCGUGCCAGCAGCCGCGGUAAUACGGAGGAUGCGAGCGUUAUCCGGAUUUAUUGGGUUUAAAGGGUGCGCAGGCGGAGGUGCAAGUCAGCGGUCAAAUUGCGGGGCUCAACCCCGUACCGCCGUUGAAACUGCAUC